GCAAACAACUAUCCCCUCUCAAGUCUCAGACGACUCUCAGCCUGAGACCCACUUUCUUCCUCGAAAACCCGCAUUCCUUGAAUCUAUAUAAAUCUCUUUUAAACUUCGUUCCGGUUCUUUCUUUUUUUCACAGUAACUCGGCCGGGAUGAACAAAAUGGAAGAAAGGGUUGCUAAAGAUCAUCAAAGGGUGUUCUGAAGCUCAGCUGGAGGACUGUCUGGAGGAAUGUGCAGUUUUGAAUGUGUGGCAGAUCCAUCCCGACACAUUUGAUAUCCGCUUUUAUCAAUGCUAUUUCUAUGACUUUAAAUUAUAUGCAUUAACAUGUCUCAUCGUCAUAUUAUAUAAAACAGGCUGUGCUCAGGCUGUAAUUUGACUCUACUGGUGAAUGACUGAAUCUUGGUGUUAUUGAGGAUUUCGUUAGGUCAGUGACGUUUGUUGUUGUUGUUCGUGAAAUGUUGAACCUCAAUUGUAUGGAAUCGAGGGCAGGUAGUAUGAUCAAGCUCACAUCCUCUUUAAUUCCAACAUAGUUACCCAAGGUUUUCUUUGUAUGCAACUUUUUUCCCCACUCGAACAAAUCAACGAUUUAGCUCUCCAUGUAUAAUCAGGUAAUGCGUUUUCUAUUUUUUGGUUUUUUGAUUGCCUACUUAGCGUGGCAAAAAUCUUGACCCCUUGGAAUGCAGGCCACUAUUUUGACACUGUUGUAUAAACUUAUAAACGUUUUGUUUUCAUUGUUGGUCCUAAUUUUAUGUUGCUUCUGCGCAUUGAGGAGGAACUCGGCAAUGUGCGUUAUGCUGGUGAAGCUUUCAGAUCCCGAUUGACUAAACUGGAUAAACGAGACCAUCUCUGUGGAACCUAUUUAAGAAAGAGCGAGGUGAUCAAGCAAAAUAAUCAAAUAUAGUCACCUGGGGCCUUUGGCGCCUCUAGGUAUUUUCUUUCUCUAAUUUGUUGCCUAUUGAGUUCUUUUGUUAAUCUAUAUUUUCUCAUUGGUUAGGCCUUUUACACGCUUGAAUUUGUUGUAAUUCAUUGGAAACUUGAGCAGAAAGAGCUAGGUAUGAUGUAUAUGCUUUGUGGGUUACCUUGAUGAAAGAAAUUAUGCAUCUUUAGUUAAGGCUGACACCAUAGAAAGAGCUAGGUGUUUGUUACAGUUGAUUCAUUGAGGUGGGAGAUUCAAGAUUUUUAGGAUCUUGGGUUUAAGUUUAGCUAGAAAAAAGUCUUCAACUGCUUACUCACAUAGAAGAUCAGUAUUAUAGAAAAGGGUUGAGUUUAAUGAAAGACUACUAAUGAGAACUAGGUCGGACAUUCAAAUACAUAAUUGUUUUGCUCACAUUUUUUUUUAAAUAAUAUGCUGACCUAUUGAUCCCUAGCGGAAAAAGAAGCUGAGUUGUUAAAUACAUAAUUGUUUUGCUUGAUUGCCUAUCUGUUUAGUUGGAGGAGUGAGUGGUCUAUAGAAUGAAGAGCUUCAACGAGUUAAUCCGUUUUUUUGCAAUGUGCAGUCAUACAGUAUGCUUAAUACAGGAAAGAUCAACGUAAAGUUACUAAAGCUAUGACUUUCUUCACGAAUCAUCAAAAAAAAAAAAGAGUAUUACUUUCAUUUGUUAGGAAGUUGAAUUGGAUUGAUGUGCUUUCAGAAAAGAACAUAAAUACCAAAACAUUAGAUUAUCUUCUUUUUGCAAGUCAGUAAUACCUUCCUUUCGGCAUGGUGAGUGUGAAGAAUUUGCACUGAUGUUGGUUAUAAUUUUUGACAUUUUGCUACUGUGUUCAAAAUACACUUUAUUCACAGGAUUCCUAUUUGCUAUUAUCGGUCUAUGACUUUGAAAUUUUCACUCUAUAGUGAAGCUUAAAGUGGAGAAUGGGAAUUUCUUUACUUGCCUAAGGAUGGUUCAUCCAGUGAAGAAAGUAAAAUAGCGAGAACACAUAAAACGACAACUUCGCCAAGAAAACCUCGGGUCAUAAGCAACAUAAAGCGAUAUUUGCUCGAGGAAAUAAUUGGCUUACUUACGAACAAAUAAACUAUCUAAAUUUCAGGUAGGCUUUAUAUGAAGGUGGGAGUAACCCAGGAAUCAACAAGUACGCGAUCCCUUUCAGGAUCUAGUCUACCCUCUAUCAAUCAAUUAAUGAAGUACCGGAAAAGGCUUAAGAACACUGUUAAUUUUUUAUUUUUCAGAAAUCAGUCCACUUUGAAUCAUAAUAUAGUUUAGAAAUUAAGUGGAAAAAAAAACCUUUGUUGUUAUUUUUCAGAAAUUAGUCCACUUUGAUUCGGUUAAUAUAUGAGAAUGACAAGUAAAGAAUUAAUAAAUGCUGUGUCUUCUCUUCUUUGGAUGAUAAUAACCAGUCUGAUAACAAUCUUUGUUGUUGUGUCAAAGACUCUUUUUCCUUUCCAGGACUGGUGGAUUGUCCCUGCUAAAGUUGUAUUUGCCUCCGCGGCGGGAUUAGGAUUAUUGCAUUUUGAAUGCAACCUUCUGGCCUAUGUGGAGUUCUUUACCAUUUUUCAUCUGAGCAAAAGGCUUAAUAAAUAUGAAGGAAUAUUCAUGUCCUGUUAGAAUAACCUAGCACGGGUUACUAUCUGGUUUAGAUUAGAUAAAGUUUAGUAAAGUUAACGGAAUUUUGAAUGGCUCCAGGAGUUACCGUCGAGGUUUGUCUUUGAUUUUUGCUUUAAAAGAAGAG